CUCGUUCUGCUGUUGUUUUUCUUCAGGCAUUAGACUGGUGGCAUAGUUCGCAUCUGCUAGAUAAAAGCAUAAUCGCACCGACCAAAGACGACAGCAAUAAUGUAUUUUGAGACAAAGAAACUCUUGAAACUAAAAGAAGUUUAAGAGGACUUUUACACCAAAGUCUUAGACAUGUUUUUCCAGAAGGUUAGGCCAAUUCUUCUUCACGUUUGUUAGCCUAGCACCAGAAGUUGGUUGAUGAUUAGCAAGGAGAUCAACAUUAAUUUGUGUGUCUUAUUCAUUCACUUGGCUCAUGACGUCUACCUGAAUUAUCCUCUUUGGCUAAAAGCUGUCCUAAAUCAGUUGCUCGCGUUUCCAAAAACUGCUCAUUUGCGCUGUUUCCAGACUUUUUGUAGUCGAUCGCCACCGAGCUAAAAACUGAUGACAACUAACGAUUGCGCAAAAUCGAACUGUUAUUUCACCGCGCUGAUAUGAACGCUCAGGUUGAUGUAAACAGGUACCAUUAGAUUAUGGCUCAAUUCAGUACACGCCGUGGCUCACUCUCAACCAAUCAGAACGCUUGAUUUUAUCUGCCCAGUAUUAUAAAAGAAUAUACGAUAUGGGAUAUGAAACAUAAGCAGUAGUCGAAGGUCAAGCGUAUUUUGCAUCUCCAUGGACUGAGAGGCUGCCGUGCAAGAAGGAAGCCCUUGCUCCAAAAGCGGCACCUUAAGGCUCGACUGAAGUUUGCUGCUGAUCACAUGGACAAAGGUAAGACCUUCUGGAGGAAAGUUCUGUGGUCAGAGGAAACAAAAAUCAAGCUGUUUGGCCACAAUGCCCAGCAAUAUGUUUGGAGGACAAAAGGUGAGGCCUUUAACCCCAAGAACACCAUGCCUACCGUCAAGCACGGUGGUGGUAGUUUUAUGCUGUGGGACUGUUUUGCAAGUAGUAGGAGAUGGGUUUGAGAAAGGGGAGCGUAUGUCAGCUAAGCUAGUUGACAAAGUCUCACGGAAGAAGGGUGGAGCGGGGAGGAGAACUCUGGAGUUCGAGGAGGUUGGAGAAGAUGGAAAAGAGCUUUUUGGGGUCAAAAAAAUUCUAGAUUUCUCACGGGUUACUUUAAGCCUUGUGUGUCAUGGGUCCUUUGUCGCGUCAUUACAUGUUAUGCCUGGAUGGCACGCCCUGAAUGUCUUGUGAGUCCCCAGUCCCAGUCUGCGUUUUUGCCCCUUGGCACAUUUUGAUUUUGACUAUUAAAGUCUUUUUGUUGUCAAGUUUGCAUUUAGGUCCUGCCACUGCCUACACACUGUUCCUGACAAGAUUGGUAGAAAGAGCUUUUGGCAGCAGAGAUAGAAGCAGAAAAAGAGGAGAGAAGAGAUUGAAACGCAAGCAGGUCAUCAGGUUGUUUAUAUUUACGCCAUUUCCUUUGCGAUGCUCACAUGGCAGGCUCUCACGGCACGCAACGGUUCGUAAGAGGACCGAGAGUCUAGAGAGGAGGACAGAGUUGAGGGGAGAGUCUCUGUGGCAGCGUUCGGAGGUAGGAGUGAGAAGGAGUCAGUUGAGGGGAGAGCUGAUAGAACGGAGGAGGGAGAGAGGGAGCGGAUGUUGCGACGAACCAUCACAGAGUCAGUUCGAUGGGGCGGGGUCGUUAGUUAGAGAGUGGGAGAGAGUAGCAGAUGAAGAAGUGGUCAGAGACAUGAAGUGGAGUUACAGUGAGGUUAGACGUAAAGCAGAUGUACUCAAGGUGAUUGCCGACUUUGUGAGUUGGAGGAGAGGGACUGUGUGACAGUGCAAAAGAAGAAAGUAGGAGUAAGAGGUCGGAUGACUUCUGUCUGGACGUUAAAGCGGCCCAUGAGGAUGAGAAGGCUGUUUUCAGGGAGGUUGGACAGGAGGAUGGCUUACGAAAUCCAUGAUUUCAAAGCCUUGUCAUGUUUAAUGAAUGGUGAGAGGAGAGAUACAGGCAAGCAGAGAAAGAAGCAGUUUUAUUGUUCUACAAAUUAAACAAGUUCACUGGUUAUUUUUUUGUUUAAUUUGCAGUUAUUGAAAUGAAAGGUUAAGUUGUGCUAGAUGGCUGUCUAGCACAACUUGAACAAAAGACCAUUGUUAAGGAAAAGCCCCCGAAAAAUCGGGAGACAAUUGGGAGACAUCCAUAAAGGACGGCUAUUAGCAUCCGUCCCCAGGUUUUAACAUUACAUUGUGAAAGAAUGUUAUUGUGUACAGUGUUUAUAUGAUUUACAUGACUAUACUUUGUGUUUUGAUUCAUAGUGCACUCUCUUCAUCUAACAUGCUAAUGUAAUAACUAAUAUCUAAUAACAAACUACAAUUCUAACACUAAACAUUACUACAUGUAUUAUAAUUUCCACCACUGGGGAUGCACUUCUUGCACUUCUCGGUCUGCUCCGGGAC
ensembl:lncRNA